rnacentral:rRNA from 2 species
AGCAUAUCAAUAAGCGGAGGAAAAGAAACCAACAGGGAUUGCCCUAGUAACGGCGAGUGAAGCGGCAACAGCUCAAAUUUGAAAUCUGGCGCAAGCCCGAGUUGUAAUUUGUAGAGGAUGCUUCAGGGCAGCGGCCGGUCUAAGUUCCUUGGAACAGGACGUCAUAGAGGGUGAGAAUCCCGUAUGCGACCGGUUGGCACCCGUCACGUAGCUCCUUCGACGAGUCGAGUUGUUUGGGAAUGCAGCUCUAAAUGGGAGGUAAAUUUCUUCUAAAGCUAAAUACCGGCCAGAGACCGAUAGCGCACAAGUAGAGUGAUCGAAAGAUGAAAAGCACUUUGGAAAGAGAGUUAAAAAGCACGUGAAAUUGUUGAAAGGGAAGCGCAUGCAACCAGACUCGUCGGCGGUGUUCCGCCGGUCUUCUGACCGGUCCAUUCGCCGCCGGCGGGCCAGCAUCACUUGGGGGCGCCGGAUAAAGGCGCGGGGAAUGUGGCCCCUCGGGGUGUUAUAGCCCCGCGCACAAUACGGCGACCCGCGAGUGAGGUCCGCGCUUCGGCUAGGAUGCUGGCGUAAUGGUUGUCUGCGGCCCGUCUUGAAACACGGACCAAGGAGUCUAACAUCUAUGCGAGUGUUCGGGUGUCAAACCCCUGCGCGUAAUGAAAGUGAACGGAGGUGGGAGCUUAGGCGCACCAUCGACCGAUCCUGAUGUCUUCGGAUGGAUUUGAGUAAGAGCAUAGCUGUUGGGACCCGAAAGAUGGUGAACUAUGCCUGAAUAGGGUGAAGCCAGAGGAAACUCUGGUGGAGGCUCGCAGCGGUUCUGACGUGCAAAUCGAUCGUCAAAUUUGGGUAUAGGGGCGAAAGACUAAUCGAACCAUCU